GACGAACGCUGGCGGCGUGCUUAACACAUGCAAGUCGAACGAUGAACCGGAGCUUGCUCUGGGGAUUAGUGGCGAGCGGGUGAGUAACACGUGGGCAACCUGCCCCAGACACCGGGAUAACCAUUCGAAAGGAUGGCUAAUACCGGAUACGACCACUUCGGGCAUCCGAUGGUGGUGGAAAGGAUUCUGGUCUGGGAUGGGCCCGCGGCCUAUCAGCUUGUUGGUGGGGUAAUGGCCUACGAAGGCGACGACGGGUAGCCGGCCUGAGAGGGGGCCCGGCCACACUGGGACUGAGACACGGCCCAGACUCCUACGGGAGGCAGCAGUGGGGAAUAUUGCGCAAUGGGCGAAAGCCUGACGCAGCGACGCCGCGUGAGGGACGAAGGUCUUCGGAUUGUAAACCUCUUUCAGCAGGGAUGAAGCGAAAGUGACAGUACCUGCAGAAGAAGCACCGGCUAACUACGUGCCAGCCGCCGCCGUAACAC
rnacentral:rRNA from 1 species